ACUGAAGACUUUUUUCCAUUCCUGGAGGGUGGGGAAGGUAGGGCUGGUUUUAAAAUAAUUUUGAGCCGGGUAUGCCUCAGUAAAUUAGAGGGAGUAAGAAAGACUUCAGAACAUAUUAGGAUGGUUUGCUGUCAAGUCUCCCAGAAGUCAAAUGUAUUUCUCUUAAAUUUCAGAGGUAUGACCAGAUCAUGUGAACCAGGCAUACCUUUAUUCUAUCUGCUAAACUUAAGAGCCUGCAAGAGGUUAAAAAUUUCUUCUGUUGUUUGAAUUACCAUAGCUUCCUUGCAUUUGGUUUGAUUAAACAGAAAUGGUGAAGAAUAUGGACUCCUGACUCAAAUUCUUUACAAAGAAUUUGACGCUGUACAAGUACUGUCAUCCUUUGUUUAGACAAAUGAAGAAAAACCACAUUGUAGUUUAUAAUUUGUUCUGGACUAAAGUGUAUUUUUCUUCUGACCCAUCAAAAUGCUUUUCUUUUUUCCUUUUCCCCAAAGGGUGAACUCUGAAUCUGGCCCUUGCCCCUCUACCCACCCAUCACCCCCUGCCCCCGGCUCCAGCGGUCCCCUCCUCCCCAUCAGAAUGCUAAUGAACAUAAUUGUGUCCCACAGUAUUUUGAUAUUAUUGCUAAACAUCAAUAUUCUAAGUUUUAGAACUGUUUUCUCAUUAAAAACACUUAAAACUUCAAAAUAAGAUUUCAGGAUGCCUGAGACACACUGGCCAUUUCCCCAUUUUGCCUCUUUAGGAUUUCCCCCCUUCUACUUCUGUAAACCAAAGCUAUUUUUCCCUUUACAUCUUAGUUUACAUUUUUUCCUUUUUUUGUCUCAGCAGGGUUCUUAACUACAGUUUAUAGUGACUAUAUUAAAUUCCUCAUAGUUUUAUGGUAGUUGAAUGCAACCUCCAGUAUUUAUUGGAUUUUUAAAAAGUUGGAUCUUUUCAUAUACGAAGUCUCAGGGCACCAUUAUUAUAAGCCAGAUUUUUUUAAAAACUUUGAAACAUCAGAAAGUUUACAAAUUUAUACUAAUGAGGUCACAGGUGUACACUUUAAUUUUACUAGCUUUGUUUUCUACAUACUCUACCAAAAUUCUCUCUUGUUCACCUCACUUUUUGAGUUACCUAAUCCUUUUCCACCAGCCAAGCUAAUGCCUUACGUUAGACCUCUAUAUCUUUUUU